rnacentral:sRNA from 1 species
CCACUUCAGGCGGGGCUCCAACCUGCAAAGAACGUGUGAAAACCAUGUAUGGUAUAAUAUGUGAAGGUGCCACAAAACACAUGAUAUAACUUCCAUGAAGGAGAUAGUGUACUGUAGAGGGUGUGGUAGGUCUAGGAAUCUCCACAGUCGAUCGCGCCAUGAAUGAAUGACCACUUCAGGCUGCUCCGCUGAACUGUUAUCUGUCUCUCUACCUAUUUUUGCAUCUUUAUUCUUAUUGUAGCCACUCGCCACACUUAGAAAUAAUUGUAUCUUUUCUAGGUUUAAAUUACUUUUUUUUUAAUCAGCAUG